CUUCUCUACUACUAUCCCUCCCUCUCUUAUACUAUUUCGAUUGUUAUUAAUAAAUCGGUAGGGGUCCACACCAAACCCCCCACCAUUACAAGAUGGUUUUUUGCUUUUACAAAAAAAAUCCAACAUCUAUAUUUAAUUUUGCUCCUCAAUCUUUUUUUGAUUUAUAAAAAAUUCAUAUUUUUUAAAUUCAAAAAAAAGGAUCGAACCAGCACGCGAGCCGUGCCGUGCUUGGACCAUGCCGGUCCGUGCUUAGCCCGUAGGCCGUGCCGGGCUUGGACUGCAGACCGCAAACCCUCAGCCCAAUCCGGCCCCUUUUAAGGGGCCGUGCCUGGCACGGCCCGUUACUA
rnacentral:lncRNA from 1 species